UGAAUUUUAAUUACAAAGUCCAACAAAGGAUUGGGUUUACUGCUGCAACGUAUCCCACAGAGGAGAUUUGGUAGACAGUGUAUUGAUGGCUUGUAUACUCCCAAGGCUAAGAGAAAAAGUUUUCUGCUCUGUGAUGAGCCAUCAAUCAAUCUUCUUUCCACUGUAUUUAUCGCUGUGCCCCUGCGCUAUUAGAAAGAAAGAAAAAAAAAAAAAAAUCUGAAUCUACCAAUUCAUCUUCAUCCUGUUCUUCAUCAGCAAAAAAGGUUUGGAUGGGAUGGAACGAACAUUGUGACAGGAAAAAGUAGCAUGAAUGUAUGG